GCCAGGUGCGGUGGUGCAUGCCUAUAACCCCAGAUGCUCGGAGGCUGAGGCAGGAGGAUCGCUAGUUCAAAGCCAACCUCAGCAAUUUAGUUUGGCCCUAACUCGGAGACCCUGUCUCUA
rnacentral:sRNA from 1 species